UACGUAGGGGGCAAGCGUUGUCCGGAAUCAUUGGGCGUAAAGAGCGCGUAGGCGGCCCAGUAAGUCCGCUCUGAAAGUCAGGGGCUCAACCCCUGAAUGCGGGUGGAUACUGCUGGGCUAGAGUCCGGAAGAGGCGAGUGGAAUUCCAGGUGUAGCGGUGAAAUGCGUAGAUAUCGGGAGGAACACCUGUGGCGAAAGCGGCUCACUGGACCACAACUGACGCUGAGGCGCGAAAGCUAGGGGAGCAAACAGG
rnacentral:rRNA from 1 species